UUGAAGCGGCUAUAUAUGUCUUGAACAGAAUCCCUUCUAUUGUAUUGGGAUCAAGAUACUUUUUGAACUACUCUAUGGGAAGCUUCCUUCGUUGUUUUAUUUAAGGGUCGUAAGUUGCUUGUGUUUUGCUACUAGCCUCACUCAAAAGGACAAGUUCAGUCCUUGAACAGUGAGAGCAGUGUUAGUUGCCUGUAGUGCUCACCAGAAGAGGAACUUGAUCUUUCUGUGGUUGUAAAUGGCUUAGCUGAUGUACCAUCUUCUGAAGUGUUAUCAGAAAUGCAAGUUACUGCAGAGGUAUACCCUCAUGUAAAGACUCAUAUGGCACCAAGAAAUACAGAUACAACAAAGGUGAGAAGAUAUUUAGGAGGUUCUAGAUUGGAGAGCUUGUAUUAACAAUAAAGGUCCAUUAUUGGCUAUCUAGUUCACUAUGGUACUUCUCUUAUAUAUUGAAAGUCAAAGAAGCAAGCUAAUGUAUCAAGAAGUUCAGUAGAAGCUGAGUAUAGAGCUAUGACAUCCUCACUUGUAGAGGUGAUAUAAUUAUCUGGCCUACUGAAAGAGUUUUAUGGAUAUUACAAUUCCUAUUCCACUAUUUUGUGAUAGCAAAUCAGCAUUACAAAUAGCUACUAACCAAGUCAUUCAUGAGAGGACUAAACAUGUAGAUAUAAAUUGCCAUUUCACUAGGGAAAAGAUUCAAGAAGGGCUUAUUGUUGCUACCUAUAUACCUUCAGUAUAACAUUCAGCUAAUCUAUUCACUAAAGGGCUCGGUAGAUAACUACAUCAACACUUGAUGUCCCAGCUGGGAAUGGAAAAUAUCUUCAUAGCUUCCAGCUUUGGGAGAGAGCUUAGCAAGUGUAUUGAUAUACCUUGAGGUACAAUCAUUACUAACAGAUACAAGCUUCAGUAAUUUGUUAGUUGGUUAGUGGAAUAAGUGUUUUAGUUAUUUUGUUAGAUGAUUGUAAUUAGUAAGUAAUUGGUUAGAUAAGCUGGUUAGAUGUAGGAAGUUGUUAUGAGAUGGCAUUGUGUAUAGAUAACACAUUUGUUGAUUAGUUAGAGCCAAUGCAAGAUGGUUUUUCUUCAC